rnacentral:lncRNA from 1 species
UAGAAUUCAACAUUCCAGUUUUUCCAAAACUGAAACACUAGCUCCAACCAGGAGUUUAACUUACAACAUUCAAGUUUUGCCAAAAUACAUGAGUUUCAACCCUGCGGUUUAAGUCACAACAUGCUAUCUUAAAAUAAAACUAAAAAUGUAACUCAGUCGGUGGGGAACUAUUUAACGCAAGAUCCUCGCGAAAAGUCUCGCUCCACCUUGUCCGACGAACUUGCAAAACAAUCGGUACAAUAAGCCGUCGAGAGCAAACUAUAUCGACUGGAUAAUAAGGCACCAAUGAUAACAAAAUAACUGAAUAGUACCACACGUAUGUGAAAAUAUGUGUAUGAUUUGGCUAUCAUCCGACUAACUAUAUCCAACAGAUAUCAUUUAUGAAUCAUACGUAUAGCUGCAAGCAACGGUAUGAUUCCCACCAAAGUAACUAUGUCCAAGUAAGUGUACGUCAACUGAAUCUUCAUGUACAGUAGGAUAACAGUGAUAAUAAAGUAACCGACCGUUUCUAGUGCAAGUGGCAAAAGAUUUGGUGGUUGGUACCCGAGAUCCCAAAUUCGAAUCUUAAUUGAUUCACAUUUUCAGGUAAGUUUAUUUCUAAAUGAAAUAAACGAAGCGGAUAGCAUGUCACCUAUUUCUCAAAAAAAAACCCAACGAUAAUAAAGUAGCUGGAAGGCACAACAAGCAUGCAUAAAAAAUUAGGGAUGAAUUGAAGUCAGUUGUGCUUCAUCAAAGUGAAUUGGUCACAUCCAUGCCUGGGGUAAGAAAUUGUAUUGGACUUAUAUGUAUAUAAAGAAGUAACAUAAUUGGUAAAAUGAUAUGUAUGAAAAUGCAAUUUAUUUUAAAUAAAUUGAUACUAUGAUACUAGAACUCAACAUAAGUGGAACACACAAAUCUAUGUUGAGAUAACAAUAACACUCUCUAUGGACAUUGGAGAAUGAACUGACAUGUAUACGAAAUCUAGUGCCAUUUAAUAUAGGUUGGAAAGAUAUAGUGGGUAGGAUAUCACUUGGAUGGGCAGGAUACUACUUGGGCCUGAUAAUAUAAAAUCUAGAAAGAUUGACAAUGAAUGGUGAAAUCAUGUGUACCUUUGCCUCGACCAAGAAAGCGGCGAUCUCGCUACCCAAAGACUUGAGAAAGCGGCGAUUCCGCCACCCAAUGCCGAGAUAGUGGUGAUUCUGCUAAGUAUGAACUUAUGGCCGGAGGCGAAAGUGGCAAUUCCGCUAUCCAAUGCCAAGAUGAAAAGUGACAAUUCUGCUAUGAAUUGACCCACGACAGGAGUCGAGUAACAUAUGGUUAAUUAGGAUAAUGAAAUUAGUGGAUAAAUAAUAACUUCUGUCAUUUCAUAAAUUUUCAUUAUUGCAUAAACUGAGCAUGAGCAAGAUUAUUUUAUUUUGGAAUAUAGUACUUAUUCAUGUGCUUUAGUUAUCCAAAC